CCUACGGGAGGCAGCAGUAAGGAAUAUUGGACAAUGCUCGCAAGAGUGAUCCAGCCAUGCCGCGUGCAGGAAGAAUGCCCUAUGGGUAGUAAACUGCUUUUGAACUAGAGAAAACCCCAGUACGUGUACUGGGCUGAUAGUAUAGUUAGAAUAAGCAUCGGCUAACUUCGUGCCAGCAGCCGCGGUAAGGCGAAGGAUGCAAGCGUUAUCCGGAUUCAUUGGGUUUAAAGGGAGCGUAGGUGGACUGAUAAGUCAGUGGUGAAAUCUCCGAGCUUAACUCGGAAAUUGCCAUUGAUACUGUUGGUCUUGAGUACAGUUGCUGUGGGCGGAAUAUGACAUGUAGUGGUGAAAUACAUAGAGAUGUCAUAGAACACCGAUUGCGAAGGCAGCUCACAAAGCUGUAACUGACACUGAGGCUCGAAAGUGCGGGGAUCAAACAGGAUUAGAUACCCUGGUAGUCCGCACCGUAAACGAUGAUUACUCGCUGCUAGGGGGCAACCUUUAGUGGCUUAGCGAAAGCGAUAAGUAAUCCACCUGGGGAGUACGCCGGCAACGGUUGAAACUCAAAGGAAUUGACGGCGNGAGAGNGCGACGGACGACGACGAGGGAGGAGG
rnacentral:rRNA from 1 species